rnacentral:rRNA from 1 species
AGAGUUUGAUCCUGGCUCAGGAUGAACGCUGGCGGCGUGCCUAAUACAUGCAAGUCGAGCGAACGGACGAGAAGCUUGCUUCUCUGAUGUUAGCGGCGGACGGGUGAGUAACACGUGGAUAACCUACCUAUAAGACUGGGAUAACUUCGGGAAACCGGAGCUAAUACCGGAUAAUAUUUUGAACCGCAUGGUUCAAAAGUGAAAGACGGUCUUGCUGUCACUUAUAGAUGGAUCCGCGCUGCAUUAGCUAGUUGGUAAGGUAACGGCUUACCAAGGCAACGAUGCAUAGCCGACCUGAGAGGGUGAUCGGCCACACUGGAACUGAGACACGGUCCAGACUCCUACGGGAGGCAGCAGUAGGGAAUCUUCCGCAAUGGGCGAAAGCCUGACGGAGCAACGCCGCGUGAGUGAUGAAGGUCUUCGGAUCGUAAAACUCUGUUAUUAGGGAAGAACAUAUGUGUAAGUAACUGUGCACAUCUUGACGGUACCUAAUCAGAAAGCCACGGCUAACUACGUGCCAGCAGCCGCGGUAAUACGUAGGUGGCAAGCGUUAUCCGGAAUUAUUGGGCGUAAAGCGCGCGUAGGCGGUUUUUUAAGUCUGAUGUGAAAGCCCACGGCUCAACCGUGGAGGGUCAUUGGAAACUGGAAAACUUGAGUGCAGAAGAGGAAAGUGGAAUUCCAUGUGUAGCGGUGAAAUGCGCAGAGAUAUGGAGGAACACCAGUGGCGAAGGCGACUUUCUGGUCUGUAACUGACGCUGAUGUGCGAAAGCGUGGGGAUCAAACAGGAUUAGAUACCCUGGUAGUCCACG